GACGAACGCUGGCGGCGUGCCUAAUACAUGCAAGUAGAACGCUGAAGCGAGGAGCUUGCUCUUCUUGGAUGAGUUGUGAACGGGUGAGUAACGCGUAGGUAACCUGCCUUGUAGCGGGGGAUAACUAUUGGAAACGAUAGCUAAUACCGCAUAACAAUGGAUGACACAUGUCAUUUAUUUGAAAGGGGCAAUUGCUCCACUACAAGAUGGACCUGCGUUGUAUUAGCUAGUAGGUGAGGUAACGGCUCACCUAGGCGACGAUACAUAGCCGACCUGAGAGGGUGAUCGGCCACACUGGGACUGAGACACGGCCCAGACUCCUACGGGAGGCAGCAGUAGGGAAUCUUCGGCAAUGGGGGCAACCCUGACCGAGCAACGCCGCGUGAGUGAAGAAGGUUUUCGGAUCGUAAAGCUCUGUUGUAAGUCAAGAACGAGUGUGAGAGUGGAAAGUUCACACUGUGACGGUAGCUUACCAGAAAGGGACGGCUAACUACGUG
rnacentral:rRNA from 1 species